rnacentral:rRNA from 1 species
GGCCCCGCACAAGCGGUGGAGCAUGUGGUUUAAUUCGAUGCAACGCGAAGAACCUUACCAGGGCUUGACAUACUACAGAUCUUUUUGAGAAAGAAGAGUGCCUUCGGGAAUGUAGAUACAGGUGGUGCAUGGCUGUCGUCAGCUCGUGUCGUGAGAUGUUGGGUUAAGUCCCGCAACGAGCGCAACCCUUAUUUUUAGUUACCAACUUGUUGGGUUCUCUAGAAAGACUGCCGGUGACAAACCGGAGGAAGGUGAGGAUGACGUCAAGUCAGCAUGCCCCUUAUGUCCUGGGCUACACACGUGCUACAAUGGCUAAGACAAAGAGUUGCGAGUUCGUGAGAACCAGCUAAUCUCGUAAACUUAGCCUAAGUUCAGAUUGUAGGCUGCAACUCGCCUACAUGAAGUUGGAAUCGCUAGUAAUCGC